UUUGAUUAUGAGUUGGGUUGGGUUGGGUUACCCAUUUUGACACCCCUAGUAACAACAGAAUGAAUUUUGUUUAUAGAGACAAAAAAACAUGAAGUAAU
rnacentral:sRNA from 1 species